rnacentral:rRNA from 1 species
UACGGGGGGGGGCAAGCGUUGUUCGGAAUUACUGGGCGUAAAGGGCUCGUAGGCGGCCAACUAAGUCAGACGUGAAAUCCCUCGGCUUAACCGGGGAACUGCGUCUGAUACUGGAUGGCUCGAGUUUGGGAGAGGGAUGCGGAAUUCCAGGUGUAGCGGUGAAAUGCGUAGAUAUCUGGAGGAACACCGGUGGCGAAGGCGGCAUCCUGGACCAACACUGACGCUGAUGAGCGAAAGCCAGGGGAGCAAACGGG